UACGGAGGGUGCAAGCGUUGUCCGGAUUUAUUGGGUUUAGAGGGUGCGUAGGCGGCUUUUUAAGUCAGUGGUGAAAGCCAACAGCUCAACUGUUGAACUGCCAUUGAUACUGAGAAGCUUGAGUACAGACGAGGUAGGCGGAAUUUAUGGUGUAGCGGUGAAAUGCAUAGAUACCAUAAAGAACACCGAUUGCGAAGGCAGCUUACUAGGCUGUAACUGACGCUGAGGCACGAAAGCGUGGGGAUCAAACAGG
rnacentral:rRNA from 1 species